GACGAACGCUGGCGGCGUGCUUAACACAUGCAAGUCGAACGGUGAUCUCGAGAGCUUGCUCUUGGGUGAUCAGUGGCGAACGGGUGAGUAACACGUGAGUAACCUGCCCCUGACUCUGGAAUAACCCCGGGAAACCGGGGCUAAUACCGGAUAUGAAACGGACCCGCAUGGGUACUGUUUGGAAAGUUUUUCGGUUGGGGAUGGACUCGCGGCCUAUCAGCUUGUUGGUGAGGUAAUGGCUCACCAAGGCGACGACGGGUAGCCGGCCUGAGAGGGCGACCGGCCACACUGGGACUGAGACACGGCCCAGACUCCUACGAGAGGCAGCAGUGGGGAAUAUUGCACAAUGGGCGAAAGCCUGAUGCAGCGACGCCGCGUGAGGGAUGACGGCCUUCGGGUUGUAAACCUCUUUCAGCAGGGAAGAAGCGCAAGCGACGGUACCUGCAGAAGAAGCACCGGCUAACUACGUGCCAGCAGCCGCGGUAACAC
rnacentral:rRNA from 1 species